CCAUGCCACAUAAUAUUAUUACCUUAUCCAUUAAACCUAUCCACCAAAGAUUACACAAACCAUCUAUGUUAAAUGGCAUCCACCAGACCCGGGCACCUUCAAACUGAACACUGAUGGUGCAUCUAAGGGGACUACGGCAGUAAAAUGUUUUGGAGGAGUCUUUCGCAACUACACAGGUACUUGCUGAACCAAUUGGGUAAUCCAUCAAUACAACAUGUAUACAGGGAGCAAAAUAGCAUCGAUGAUGGACUCGGAAAAUAUGGCACCACCAUGGAGAGGCCAACUCACUUACUAUUAUCGAGCAUCCACCGGCCUUUUUGCAUACGGAACGAUUAACGGGUAAUUCCAACGAGUAGAUGCAUCCUAAUGACUACUGCUAUCCCACCUUUUUGUAUGCCCAGUAGUACAACCACACUCAGUGGUUCAGAAUAUGUACUAGACUCCUUUUGUAAUAAUGUACCACAACCUCCCUGUAACAUUGCUUUUUAAUUAAUAUAGACUAAUCUUUAGUUAACCAAAAAAAAGGAAUUGGAUAGAACAAAA